GUGCACCAGGCGCGAAACUUCACACUGUGCGAAAGCACGAUGAGGGAAUCCCAAGUGCUUGCACGUAAGUGCAAGCUGUUUCUCUGUCUAAAACGCAGAGAGAGUAAGGGCUGGGUAAGACGGGUGCCAGCCGCCGCGGUAAUACCUGCAGCUCAAGUGGUGACCGUUAUUAUCGGGCCUAAAACGUCCGUAGCCGGUUUAAUAAAUGCCUGGGUAAAUUGUGUAGCUUAACUAUACGAAUUCCGGGUAGACUGUUAAACUUGAGACCGGGAGAAGUUAGAGGUACUCCUGGGGUAGAGGUGAAAUUCUGUAAUCCUAGGGGGACCACCAGUGGCGAAGGCGUCUAACUAGAACGGGUCUGACGGUGAGGGACGAAGCCCU
rnacentral:rRNA from 1 species